AACGAACGCUAUCGGUAAGCCUAACACAAGCCAGUUGAACGGAUUUAUUUAGGGCUUGCUCUAAAUUAGUUAGUAGCAGACGGGGGAGUAACACGGGGGAAUCUGCCCAUCAGUACGGAAUAACAUUUUAGGAAUAGAUGCUAAUACCGUAUAUUCUCUUCGGAGGGAAGAUUUAUCGCUGAUGGAUGAGCCCGCGUCAGAUUAGGUAGUUGGUAGGGUAAUGGCCUACCAAGCCAACGAUCUGUAGCUGGUCUUGAGAGGAUGAUCAGCCACACUGGGACUGAGACACGGCCCAGACUCCUACGGGAGGCAGCAGUGGGGAAUAUUGGACAAUGGGCGAAAGCCUGAUCCAGCAAUACCGAGUGGGUGACGAAGGCCUUAGGGUUGUAAAGCCCUUUUCAGCAGGGAAGAUAAUGACGGUACCUGACCAAGAAAGCCCCGGCUAACUCCGUGCCAGCAGCCGCGGUAAGACGGAGGGGGCUAGCGUUGUUCGGAAUUACUGGGCGUAAAGAGUGCGUAGGCGGUUUAGUAAGUUGGAAGUGAAAGCCCGAGGCUUAACCUCGGAACUGCUUUCAAAACUACUAAUCUAGAGUGUAGUAGGGGAUGAUGGAAUUCCUAGUGUAGAUGGUGAAAUUCUUAGAUAUUAGGAGGAACACCGGUGGCGAAGGCGGUCAUCUGGGCUACAACUGACGCUGAUGCACGAAAGCGUGGGGAGCAAACAGGAAUAGAUACCCUGGUAGUCCACGCCGUAAACGAUGAGUGCUAGAUAUCGGGAGAAAUUCUUUCGUUUUCGUAGCUAACGCAUUAAGCACUCCGCCUGGGGAGUACGGUCGCAAGAUUUAAACUCAAAGGAAUUGACGGGGGUUCGCACAAGCGGUGGAGCAUGCGGUUUAAUUCGAUGUUACGCGAAAAACCUUACCAACCCUCGACAUGGUGGUCGCGGGAAGCAGAGAUGCAUCCCUUCAGUUCGGCUGGACCACACACAGGUGUUGCAUGGCUGUCGUCAGCUCAUGUCGUGAGAUGUUGGGUUAAGUCCCGCAACGAGCGCAACCCUCAUUCUUAUUUGCCAGCGGGUAAUGCCGGGAACUAUAAGGAAACUGCCGGUGAUAAGCCGGAGGAAGGUGGGGACGAUGUCAAGUCAUCAUGGCCCUUAUGGGUUGGGCUACACGCGUGCUACAAUGGUAUCCACAGAGGGAAGCAAUACGGUGACGUGGAGCAAAUCCCUAAAAGAUAUCUCAGUUCGGAUUGUUCUCUGCAACUCGAGCAACAUGAAGUUGGAAUCGCUAGUAAUCGCGGAUCAGCAUGCCGCGGUGAAUACGUUCUCGG
rnacentral:rRNA from 1 species